rnacentral:rRNA from 1 species
GGGAAGCCAACUUCAAGAUGAGAUUUCCCACAUUUAUAUGGUAAGAUCCCAGAAAGACUAUCUGGUUGAUAGGCUGGAGGUGGAAGCAUGGCAACAUGUUGAGCUGACCAGUACUAAUAGAUCGAGGAUUUAAUCCU